rnacentral:rRNA from 1 species
UACGUAGGUGGCAAGCGUUGUCCGGAUUUACUGGGCGUAAAGAGCGCGCAGGCGGUCGUUCAAGUCGCGUGUGAAAGCCCCCGGCUCAACUGGGGAGGGUCACGCGAUACUGAUCGACUCGAAGGCAGGAGAGGGUAGUGGAAUUCCCGGUGUAGUGGUGAAAUGCGUAGAGAUCGGCAGGAACACCCAGGGGGAAACCAGCCGGCUGGGGACGGGCUGACGCUCAGGGGCGAAAGCGUGGGGAGCGAACCGG